rnacentral:rRNA from 2 species
UCAUGCAAGUCGAGCGAACUGAUUAGAAGCUUGCUUCUAUGACGUUAGCGGCGGACGGGUGAGUAACACGUGGGCAACCUGCCUGUAAGACUGGGAUAACUUCGGGAAACCGAAGCUAAUACCGGAUAGGAUCUUCUCCUUCAUGGGAGAUGAUUGAAAGAUGGUUUCGGCUAUCACUUACAGAUGGGCCCGCGGUGCAUUAGCUAGUUGGUGAGGUAACGGCUCACCAAGGCAACGAUGCAUAGCCGACCUGAGAGGGUGAUCGGCCACACUGGGACUGAGACACGGCCCAGACUCCUACGGGAGGCAGCAGUAGGGAAUCUUCCGCAAUGGACGAAAGUCUGACGGAGCAACGCCGCGUGAGUGAUGAAGGCUUUCGGGUCGUAAAACUCUGUUGUUAGGGAAGAACAAGUACGAGAGUAACUGCUCGUACCUUGACGGUACCUAACCAGAAAGCCACGGCUAACUACGUGCCAGCAGCCGCGGUAAUACGUAGGUGGCAAGCGUUAUCCGGAAUUAUUGGGCGUAAAGCGCGCGCAGGCGGUUUCUUAAGUCUGAUGUGAAAGCCCACGGCUCAACCGUGGAGGGUCAUUGGAAACUGGGGAACUUGAGUGCAGAAGAGAAAAGCGGAAUUCCACGUGUAGCGGUGAAAUGCGUAGAGAUGUGGAGGAACACCAGUGGCGAAGGCGGCUUUUUGGUCUGUAACUGACGCUGAGGCGCGAAAGCGUGGGGAGCAAACAGGAUUAGAU